rnacentral:rRNA from 1 species
UACAGAGGUCCCAAGCGUUGUUCGGAUUCACUGGGCGUAAAGCGCACGUAGGCGGCUUCUUAAGUCAGGGGUGAAAUCCUGGAGCUCAACUCCAGAACUGCCUUUGAUACUGAGGAGCUUGAGUCCGGGAGAGGUGAGUGGAACUGCGAGUGUAGAGGUGAAAUUCGUAGAUAUUCGCAAGAACACCAGUGGCGAAGGCGGCUCACUGGCCCGAUACUGACGCUGAGGCACGAAAGCGUGGGGAGCAAACAGG